CAACAGGCAGCCUCAGCUGGCACAUUUUGAAGCAAUGCAUUGUUCAGAGCCCACUCCCAAGAGAGAGGUCAGUGUCUAUGAGAAAUAUACAGGACACAUCUUCAGCUGGUUGAGUUAGCACAGCAAUAGUGAGUAAGGAUGUGAACCCUUUAUAUGCUCUAACUAAAAUACAUUUGAACCUGAAUACACAAUUUUAUUUGUCAGUCAUUACUAUUUUUCCUUGGUGCCAUUGUAAGCAGGCUUGAGCUCACCCAGCACUGCCAGUGUAAAAGACUGGGAUGCUGAGAUGUCCCAGAUGGACUGCUGCAGCCCUGUUGUAAAACUCUAUAUAUAGACUUUUUCCAUUUUUCCAAAGAAAAUAUUUGGGACUGUUUUUAGAACCUCUCAGUCAGAGGGGUGGCACUGUCAGCCAUUGCAAGAACACCCCAGCAUCCUUUGUGGAGGUGCAGUUGCACAUCUCCUGCCAUUUCCUGAGACCUCUUCUGCUAGCAUCAAGCAAACAGCAGCUUCCUCCAGAUCCCAGCUGUCAGCGGAGCAUUUGCAAAACCCUUCCUCCAAAGCCUUUUAGCUGGUAGCAGGAACCUGAUCCCUUUAUACCUCCUUCAAGGCUCCACUCCUAAGAGGAAUAAAGAAUUAUAAUCCAACACUUCCUGGACACUUAAAGAAGCAUGUCUAGCACUUCUCUACCACUGAGACCUUCCUGUCAACAGCAGAAGAAGUUUCAUACUCCAACCUACCGUGAGAAUAAGUGAUGUGUUUCCAAUGCAGUACCAAAAUAAUGCUGCUGGAGUCUGGUGACAAAGUCCUAUGGACCCCUGAAAAGGUGAAUAUAAAUAUGGAAGUGAAAUAUGUUGCCAUGUAUGUCUCAUUGUAAAGACAAGGAAGCCCAAAGUUGCUGUGUUCAUUGUACAGUGCAGAUACAACAUAGGGCUGCAGUAAUGAUGAUAAUGGUAAAAAAAAGAGAUCCCAAGAUACUAUUGAGUGAAUCAAAAUAUCAGCAAUGGAUUUAGAACUCCAGAACUGAAUGGACCUGCUGAAUGUCUGUAUUUAUAUGCUCAGAGCAAGAAAUUGUACAUGAAAAAUACUGAAAAGGUUGCAGAAUUUGUGCUGGCUUUUUUUUCAGGUAAGCGUAAUGGACUAAACACUGGGUCUCUAUUUCAAAAAAUGCUUCUGCCUUUCAACAGAUGUUCAAGUCAAUCAGGCAGUAUGGAACAAGUGUUUUGAGUAUUUU